UACAGAGGGGGCAAGCGUUGUUCGGAAUUACUGGGCGUAAAGGGCGCGUAGGCGGCCGCCUAAGUCAGACGUGAAAUCCCUCGGCUCAACCGGGGAACUGCGUCUGAUACUGGGUGGCUUGAAUCCGGGAGAGGGAUGCGGAAUUCCAGGUGUAGCGGUGAAAUGCGCAGAUAUCAGGAGGAACACCGGUGGCGAAGGCGGGUCUCUGGGCAGUAACUGACGCUGAGGAGCGAAAGCGUGGGGAGCGAACAGG
rnacentral:rRNA from 1 species